UACGGAGGGUGCAAGCGUUAUUCGGAAUCAUUGGGCGUAAAGAGCGUGUAGGCGGCUCGGUAAGUCCGCUGUGAAAGUCCAGGGCUCAACCCUGGAAUGCCGGUGGAAACUGUCGGGCUAGAGUCCGGAAGAGGCGAGGGGAAUUCCUGGUGUAGCGGUGAAAUGCGCAGAGAUCAGGAGGAACACCAAUGGCGAAGGCAGGUCGCUGGGACGGAACUGACGCUGAGGCGCGAAAGCGUGGGGAGCAAACAGG
rnacentral:rRNA from 1 species